rnacentral:rRNA from 1 species
CAGCCGCCGCGGGAAUACGAAGGGUGCAAGCGUUAAUCGGAAUUACUGGGCGUAAAGCGCGCGUAGGUGGUUCAUUAAGUUGGAUGUGAAAGCCCUGGGCUCAACCUGGGAACUGCAUCCAAAACUGGUGAGCUAGAGUACGGUAGAGGGUAGUGGAAUUUCCUGUGUAGCGGUGAAAUGCGUAGAUAUAGGAAGGAACACCAGUGGCGAAGGCGACUACCUGGACUGAUACUGACACUGAGGUGCGAAAGCGUGGGGAGCAAACGGGAUUAGAGACCCCUGUAGUCCCUGUCUCUUAUAC